CUCAUAGUGCGUGGCUGGGAUGAGGGCGGCGCUCACGGUGAGGAAGCCCCGAGCUCCCGGGACGCAGACAGGGUGUGCAGGGCCGUAGCUCGGGCCUGUGUAUGCACCUGUGCGUGUGUGUUUGAUGCCAGGACAAGGCGGCGGUGUGCGCGGCGAGGAGGCUGCGACAGCUGUAUAGACCCCAGCUGCAGUGAAAUGGCCAUCAAAAAGGGAAGGGAUAAUCGAGUGGUGGAAUAAAAUCUGCAAACAGAAAAAGGACAGACCUGUUUUCGGAACGAGGCUUUUCGAGUUGUAAGUGUCCCUUAAGCAGAGUUCUGGGAAGACGUCGUGGGGAGAACCUAGGAGUAGGAUUCCUUCCUCAGAGGCUCUCCCUUGGGAACUCUCAGAGGUCAGGUUCCAUGUGAUCCACAUCAUUCCCAGAGCUGUCUCCGCAGGAGACUUAACGUGAAUUUUGAGAAAGUCCCCAGUCCUGGAUAUCAGUGACCCUGGCCUUUCCCUUGAAUACUAAGAAGGGUUAGCAGUACUCCCAUCUCCCUUUUACUUCCAUCUGAGUAUGUUUAUGGUAGAUGAUGAGAGCUCGUGUGGUGGCAAUAAUUUUUUCCAAUUUAGCCAAUCUGGGUUCCAAGAAAGGUCUGAUGUCUCAUGAUUCCUUACCCCUUCUCCCUUGCCUUGAGGUUCUCUAAGAGCCCUGAGGAAAGGGAACCAUUGCUGAGCAUAUCUGAAAACCAAGGUCAAGGAAGUUUUGUUGUAUUUUCUAUUUUUGUUCUCUUUGAUUUUGUUUUUCAGCAAGGGAGUAUUUUUUCUCCUCCUGAAAUGCUAGUCAGUGGUUAGGUUACUAUUAGGCAGGGCCUUGUGAGGUGCUUUGACCAAUAGAAUGUGGUGGAAGUGAUAUUGUGAGACUUCUGAGACAAAGCUUCAGGAAGUCUUGCAGCUUUUUCUCUUCCCCUUUUCCUGCCCUGAGACCACCAUGACUGAAGGCUAAGAGCAACUUGCUUGCGCAUUAAAGAUCACUUGGAGAGAGAGGUCCAGUGAGCAACAACGGCCAGAAAUUUCAGGGAGACCAUCUUGAACCAUCCAGCCUCCACCAGGCCAACAGCUGACAGCUGUCACAUGAAUAUGAUCAGCAGAAGAACCACUCAGGCAAGCCAAGCCCAAAUUGCCAAGCCCCCCAAAUAAUAAGCUAAUUGUUUUUUGUUUUAAGCCAUAAACUUUUGAGGUGGUUAUAUAGCAAUAAAUAACUGAAACAGGUGUUUAACUUUC
rnacentral:lncRNA from 1 species